ensembl:lncRNA
GGCACUUCGCGGCCACCGCAGCUACCGGGACGCUCCUGGAGCUCUGGGUCCUAGGCACCUGGAGGUGUGAGCGCUGCUCUGCGCCACACCAGUUGCCACAAAGGAGGACCGGAGUGCUCUGCGUGGGCGUGAGACCCGACCUCGGUCAGGUGGUGGAGCAGCUUCUGAGACCUGGGGUUUUUCAGGAACUAACUUGCCCAGUUCUUGGGAACAGAGAUUCUGGCCUAGUCUCCUGAACUGCCAAUUUGAAGCCUGUCCUGGAGUCAGCCUGUCUCAGACUAAAAUGGAGAAGGACACUUUCUGGAAGUUGCACAUCACAUCUGCAGGCACCCAAAAGCCGGGCUCCAUUUUCAUCUGGUUAAAGAAAGAAAACCAACUAUAUCUGAGAAAUCAUUUGACUUCUACAUAUUUUUGCAGACGAGGUAAUUCCAAAUGAGAAAAUUUCUAUUUAUAAAUGAAUUAAAAAUACACUUACAUUUUAAAUCAUAAUAUAUCAGGUGAUGUUUCAUUUUUCUUUUCAAAUAGACAUUUCCCUAUUUUUAGAUGUGUGCACAUGUAACUUUGUAGGUGUGUGCUUGUCAUGGCAUACAGGUCAGAAACCAAAAGAAUUUGGCUGGACUUUGUAUUAAAUAAGAAAACAGAUUAAUAUGUGAUUAUGAAAAUAUCAAAUAUCACAUGUCAAUGGAUAGGACAUACUGAUAUCACCAAAACAAUGGCCAUUAGUUUCUAAUUAUAUGCCAAAGGCAUGAUAUUAUUUUGCAAAGAUAAGAAUAAUUGUACCUGGCACACUUUGAAUCAUAACACACUAGAAAACAAACAUAUGGAGGUGUGUGAUUUAUGGAAGUUGUUCACUA